UACGUAGGGGGCAAGCGUUAUCCGGAUUUACUGGGUGUAAAGGGAGCGUAGACGGCAAUGCAAGUCUGGAGUGAAAGGCGGGGGCCCAACCCCCGGACUGCUCUGGAAACUGUAUAGCUGGAGUGCAGGAGAGGUAAGCGGAAUUCCUAGUGUAGCGGUGAAAUGCGUAGAUAUUAGGAGGAACACCAGUGGCGAAGGCGGCUUACUGGACUGUAACUGACGUUGAGGCUCGAAAGCGUGGGGAGCAAACAGG
rnacentral:rRNA from 1 species